UUAAAUCAAUAAUUGAAAUAUUAAAUAGUGAUUAAAUAUUAAUAAUUAAAAUAUAAAAUAGUUAAAGUAUUUAAUAAAUUAUUUUGGUAAUACUGAAAUAUUUACGUAAUAUAUAUUUAUUUUGCAGUAUUAUAAACAAUUUGGAUAAUUAGCCUAGUGGAUAGAAAAAACUUUAAUUCAAAAGUUAUGGAUUCAACACAUAUGUUCUAUUGUAAAAAAUAUACUGCUUGUCCAUGUCCAGCCUAAUUCACCUCAAAAUAAAAAAAAUAUAAAAAAG
rnacentral:lncRNA from 1 species